rnacentral:lncRNA from 10 species
GCGGGGUCUGCGCCGCUUUAAGGUUGGACCCGAUCCUGCUAGGGAGUCUCCUGCAGCUUAGCAGUCCGGGAACUGGGAUUUCGGUGGGGAAUCCAAAACUAGCAGUGAUUGGAUCCAUAAAAGUUACCAAAAAACAAAAAUGAAGUGUCUGGAAUCACUCCACUGGAUUUCAAGACUACCAAUAUAGGAAAGGUAAUAAAAACUGUGUGGUUUUGGGGCAAUAAAAGACAUAUGGAUUGAUGCAAUACAGUAAGAGAGUACAAAAAUAGCCUCUACAGGUACUUCCAACUGAUUUUUGACAAAGUUACCAAGGGAAUUGAAUGAAGAAUUUUUAAAAACUGGUGAGGGGCUAACUUAAUAUCCACAGCAGGAAAGAAGUCAUCUCUACUCAAACUUCACAACCGUACAGACAUUAGUUCAACAUUGACCAUAGC